rnacentral:rRNA from 1 species
CCUACGGGUGGCAGCAGUGAGGAAUAUUGGUCAAUGGGCGCGAGCCUGAACAAGCCAAGUAGCGUGAAGGAUGACUGCCCUACGGGUUGUAAACUUCUUUUAUAAAGGAAUAAAGUUAGGCACGUGUGCCUUUUUGUAUGUACUUUAUGAAUAAGGAUCGGCUAACUCCGUGCCAGCCGCCGCGGUAAUACGGAGGAUCCGAGCGUUAUCCGGAUUUAUUGGGUUUAACGGGAGCGUAGAUGGGUUGUUAAGUCAGUUGUGAAAGUUUGCGGCUCAACCGUAAAAUUGCAAUUGAUACUGGCAGUCAGGAGUACAGUUGAGGGAGGCGGAAUUCGUGGUGUAGCGGUGAGAUGCUUAGAUAUCACGAAGAACUCCGAUUGCGAAGGCAGCUUACUAAACUGCCACUGACAUUGAUGCUCGAAAGUGUGGGUAUCAAACAGGAUUAGAUACCCGUGUAGUC